AUUGAACGCUGGCGGCAGGCCUAACACAUGCAAGUCGAACGGUAACAGGGAUCAGCUUGCUGAUUCGCUGACGAGUGGCGGACGGGUGAGUAAUGUCUGGGAAACUGCCUGAUGGAGGGGGAUAACUACUGGAAACGGUAGCUAAUACCGCAUAACGUCGCAAGACCAAAGAGGGGGACCUUCGGGCCUCUUGCCAUCGGAUGUGCCCAGAUGGGAUUAGCUAGUAGGUGGGGUAACGGCUCACCUAGGCGACGAUCCCUAGCUGGUCUGAGAGGAUGACCAGCCACACUGGAACUGAGACACGGUCCAGACUCCUACGGGAGGCAGCAGUGGGGAAUAUUGCACAAUGGGCGCAAGCCUGAUGCAGCCAUGCCGCGUGUAUGAAGAAGGCCUUCGGGUUGUAAAGUACUUUUAGCGGGGAGGAAGGGAGUAAAGUUAAUACCUGUGCUCAUUGACGUUACCCGCAGAAGAAGCACCGGCUAACUCCGUG
rnacentral:rRNA from 1 species